GAUCCAGACUCCUACGGGAGGCAGCAGUGGGGAAUAUUGCACAAUGGGGGAAACCCUGAUGCAGCGACGCCGCGUGAAGGAAGAAGUAUCUCGGUAUGUAAACUUCUAUCAGCAGGGAAGAAAACAGACGGUACCUGACUAAGAAGCCCCGGCUAACUACGUGCCAGCAGCCGCGGUAAUACGUAGGGGGCGAGCGUUAUCCGGAUUCACUGGGUGUAAAGGGGGCGCAGACGGCAGCGCAAGCCAGGAGUGAAAGCCCGGGGCCCAACCCCGGGACUGCUCUUGGAACUGCGCGGCUGGAGUGCAGGAGGGGCAGGCGGAAUUCCUGGUGUAGCGGUGAAAUGCGUAGAUAUCAGGAGGAACACCGGUGGCGGAGGCGGCCUGCUGGACUGCGACUGACGUUGAGGCCCGAAAGCGUGGGGAGCAAACAGGAUUAGAUACCCGAGUAU
rnacentral:rRNA from 1 species